CAUUAAGUGACUGAAAGUAAGUGAUGGUCUCUUAAACCAAGAAAUAGUAAUUAACAAAUGCUCUUAAUGG
rnacentral:tRNA from 1 species